GAAAGCCAACAUCAGAGCUUUAGAGACGUGACUGAAGGAACAACAGAAGUUUCAUCCUGGAAGAGCUGAACAAGAAAACUGAUGCCUUAGAGACACAACUGAGGGAACAACAGACGGUCAUCCUGGAAGAGCUGAACAAGAAAACUGAUGAAAUUUCUAAUCUUACCGAGAGUCAAGUGGAGGAGCUGAGAAAGGAAAAUAGAGACAGAGAGAU